rnacentral:tRNA from 1 species
GAGGGUGUACCUUAGCGGUAGAGAGUGUGCUUGGCAUGCACAAGGUCCUGGGUUCAAUCCCUAGUACCUCCA